rnacentral:ncRNA from 1 species
UGUCCGGCUCUCCACCAAACGAAGCGGGGCACAGCUUUACAAGGAGGAAAAAACAGUCCCCGCAGGCUCGGGGUGCGGCAGAGUGGAGACCUGUCGUAAGGCGGUGCGCAAAUGCGGCCGCGAGUGUGCAUCAGGCGGAGGCCAUGUACACGGAGCUUGGAAAAAUGGCA